UCAUUAAAUGACUCUCGGCAACGGAUAUCUAGGCUCUUGCAUCGAUGAAGAACGUAGCGAAAUGCGAUACUUGGUGUGAAUUGCAGAAUCCCGUGAACCAUCGAGUCUUUGAACGCAAGUUGCGCCUGAAGCCAUUAGGUUGAGGGCACGCCUGCCUGGGUGUCACAC
rnacentral:rRNA from 1 species